rnacentral:lncRNA from 1 species
GGUAAAUUCUCCUUUGUGUUCUCUCUUUCAUGAGCUGGGCAGAUGUGCCUGAGACAGGUUUGACCAGGCAACUGAAAAGAUAUCCCUAAGAGAAGACAAAGCAAAGGUAUGAAAGGAACACACGUCCCUGACUGACUAGGAGGAACAGAGCUGCCUGCUGUCUGGAACCGCUUCCUCCCAGACUAAGGUUUCCCAGAGGAAGAGAGAGAAUUUGGACAAAU